rnacentral:snRNA from 1 species
GUACUUGCUCUGACAGAAUACAUACUAAAAUUGGGAUGAUACAGUGAGGACUGUCAUGAUUCUUGUGUGAGGACGACACACAACUUCAUGAAAUGGUUCAAAUUAAA